GAUGAACGCUGGCGGCGUGCCUAAUACAUGCCAGUCGAGCGAACAGACGAGGAGCUUGCUCCCCUGCCGGUAGCGGCGGACGGGCGAGUAACACGUGCAUAACCUACCUCUUUUACGUGGAUAACUUCGUGAAACCGCUGCCACUACUGCAUCAUACAUCGUACCGCUUAGUUCAAUAGUUCUUGACGCCUUUCCCGAUUCAUAUAGCUGAAUCCGUGUCGGAUUAGCUAGUUGGUAAGGUAACGGCUUACCAAGGCAACGAUGCGUAGCCGACCUGAGAGGGUGAUCAGCCACACUGGAACUGAGACACGGUCCAGACUCCUACGGGAGGCAGCAGUGGGGAAUCUUGCGCAAUGGGCGAAAGCCUGACGGAGCAAUGCCGCGUGAGUGAUGAAGGUCUUCGGAUCGUAAAACUCUGUUGUUGGGGAAGAACAACUGUGUAAGAAACUAUGCAUGUCUUGACGGUACCUAAAGAAUAAGCCACGGCUAACUUCGUG
rnacentral:rRNA from 1 species